rnacentral:rRNA from 1 species
GUAGAACGCUGAAGAGAGGAGCUUGCUCUUCUUGGAUGAGUUGCGAACGGGUGAGUAACGCGUAGGUAACCUGCCUUGUAGCGGGGGAUAACUAUUGGAAACGAUAGCUAAUACCGCAUAACAAUGGAUGACACAUGUCAUUUAUUUGAAAGGGGCAAUUGCUCCACUACAAGAUGGACCUGCGUUGUAUUAGCUAGUAGGUGAGGUAAUGGCUCACCUAGGCGACGAUACAUAGCCGACCUGAGAGGGUGAUCGGCCACACUGGGACUGAGACACGGCCCAGACUCCUACGGGAGGCAGCAGUAGGGAAUCUUCGGCAAUGGGGGCAACCCUGACCGAGCAACGCCGCGUGAGUGAAGAAGGUUUUCGGAUCGUAAAGCUCUGUUGUAAGUCAAGAACGGGUGUGAGAGUGGAAAGUUCACACUGUGACGGUAGCUUACCAGAAAGGGACGGCUAACUACGUGCCAGCAGCCGCGGUAAUACGUAGGUCCCGAGCGUUGUCCGGAUUUAUUGGGCGUAAAGCGAGCGCAGGCGGUUUGAUAAGUCUGAAGUUAAAGGCUGUGGCUCAACCAUAGUUCGCUUUGGAAACUGUCAAACUUGAGUGCAGAAGGGGAGAGUGGAAUUCCAUGUGUAGCGGUGAAAUGCGUAGAUAUAUGGAGGAACACCGGUGGCGAAAGCGGCUCUCUGGUCUGUAACUGACGCUGAGGCUCGAAAGCGUGGGGAGCGAACAGGAUUAGAUACCCUGGUAGUCCACGCCGUAAACGAUGAGUGCUAGGUGUUGGAUCCUUUCCGGGAUUCAGUGCCGCAGCUAACGCAUUAAGCACUCCGCCUGGGGAGUACGACCGCAAGGUUGAAACUCAAAGGAAUUGACGGGGGCCCGCACAAGCGGUGGAGCAUGUGGUUUAAUUCGAAGCAACGCGAAGAACCUUACCAGGUCUUGACAUCCCGAUGCUAUUUCUAGAGAUAGAAAGUUACUUCGGUACAUCGGUGACAGGUGGUGCAUGGUUGUCGUCAGCUCGUGUCGUGAGAUGUUGGGUUAAGUCCCGCAACGAGCGCAACCCCUAUUGUUAGUUGCCAUCAUUCAGUUGGGCACUCUAGCGAGACUGCCGGUAAUAAACCGGAGGAAGGUGGGGAUGACGUCAAAUCAUCAUGCCCCUUAUGACCUGGGCUACACACGUGCUACAAUGGUUGGUACAACGAGUUGCGAGUCGGUGACGGCGAGCUAAUCUCUUAAAGCCAAUCUCAGUUCGGAUUGUAGGCUGCAACUCGCCUACAUGAAGUCGGAAUCGCUAGUAAUCGCGGAUCAGCACGCCGCGGUGAAUACGUUCCCGGGCCUUGUACACACCGCCCGUCACACCACGAGAGUUUGUAACACCCGAAGUCGGUGA